rnacentral:misc_RNA from 1 species
CCAAACUUGGUCAUUUAGAGGAAGUAAAAGUCGUAACAAGGUUUCCGUAGGUGAACCUGCGGAAGGAUCAUUAUCGAAUCGUUAGAACUCGGCUGUCGCUGGCCUUCUCAUUUCUGGGAACGCAUGUGCACGCCUAGUUCAAACUUCUCAUUCUAACCUCCUGUGCACUUUUGUGGAUCGUGGAUGAAUAAACUUUGUCAAAGUAACUUUUGGUUUUGGGGAUCGAAGUCUUUUUCUUUCCCCUACUAUUUGUCCACGGUUCAUGUUUUAUUACAAACUCUUAAAACAAAACCAGAAUGCUUAACAAGUUGGGACUUUAGUGACCCUUCUUAAAAUCUUAUACAACUUUCAACAACGGAUCUCUUGGCUCUCGCAUCGAUGAAGAACGCAGC